GACGAACGCUGGCGGCGUGCUUAACACAUGCAAGUCGAACGGAAAGGCCCUGCUUUUGUGGGGUGCUCGAGUGGCGAACGGGUGAGUAACACGUGAGUAACCUGCCCUUGACUUUGGGAUAACUUCAGGAAACUGGGGCUAAUACCGGAUAGGAGCUCCUGCUGCAUGGUGGGGGUUGGAAAGUUUCGGCGGCUGGGGAUGGACUCGCGGCUUAUCAGCUUGUUGGUGGGGUAGUGGCUUACCAAGGCUUUGACGGGUAGCCGGCCUGAGAGGGUGACCGGCCACAUUGGGACUGAGAUACGGCCCAGACUCCUACGGGAGGCAGCAGUGGGGAAUAUUGCACAAUGGGCGGAAGCCUGAUGCAGCAACGCCGCGUGCGGGAUGACGGCCUUCGGGUUGUAAACCGCUUUCACCUGUGACGAAGCGUGAGUGACGGUAAUGGGUAAAGAAGCACCGGCUAACUACGUG
rnacentral:rRNA from 1 species